rnacentral:rRNA from 1 species
UGGGGAAUUUUGGACAAUGGGCGCAAGCCUGAUCCAGCCAUUCCGCGUGAGUGAAGAAGGCCUUCGGGUUGUAAAGCUCUUUCGGCAGGGAAGAAACGGUUUCAGCUAAUACCUGGAGCUAAUGACGGUACCUGAAGAAGAAGCACCGGCUAACUACGUGCCAGCAGCCGCGGUAAUACGUAGGGUGCGAGCGUUAAUCGGAAUUACUGGGCGUAAAGCGUGCGCAGGCGGUUUUGUAAGACAGAUGUGAAAUCCCCGGGCUGAACCUGGGAACUGCGUUUGUGACUGCAAGACUCGAGUACGGCAGAGGGGGGUGGAAUUCCACGUGUAGCAGUGAAAUGCGUAGAGAUGUGGAGGAACACCGAUGGCGAAGGCAGCCCCCUGGGUCGAUACUGACGCUCAUGCACGAAAGCGUGGGGAGCAAAC